GCCACUCUUUAUGCAACGUGUAUUCUACAGACUACUAAAUGCUCUUUUCAAACCUUCGAGGCUGAGAGAAAGAGAAAAAAAAAAACAACUCCCACACACUAAAAACUCCUACAAACAACUCAGAAGAUGGACAAUAGCAGGAGGAAAAUGUACAAGAAGCACACCGAACCAUGCCAGUGUCAAUAUAACACCGGCCGUGAUGGGAAAAGCUCAGGAUGAACCGAUCGACCGAGCCGAAGCAGAGCCAAACUCAGCCGAUCCAUCUCACAUGAAGUGCAGCAAACUUGCAUCAUACGCUUUAUUUACCGAGCAAUACUUACAUCUAUUUCUGGUGGCCAGCAUUGACACAAACACUCUCCUGCCUCGAACGAUAAAUUUACUGACUCUUUUUUUUUUUUUUUUUUUUUUCCAGCAAACAUACAGAGCUAGUUAGCAAAAUCAACAAGCCAAGACACUGCUAUGAUUUAAACAGGAGAUAAGUGCCAUGAUAAAUAUUACUUCUCUGCUGUAAAAUCUCCUCACAUCCACUCAGACCGUUCCACACUGAGAGAAACCUGUACCCCCACCC
ensembl:lncRNA